GAUGAACGCUGGCGGCGUGCCUAGUACAUGCAAGUCGAGCGAACAGACGAGGAGCUUGCUCCUCUGACGUUAGCGGCGGACGGGUGAGUAACACGUGGAUAACCUACCUAUAAGACUGGGAUAACUUCGGGAAACCGGAGCUAAUACCGGAUAAUAUAUUGAACCGCAUGGUUCAAUAGUGAAAGACGGUUUUGCUGUCACUUAUAGAUGGAUCCGCGCCGCAUUAGCUAGUUGGUAAGGUAACGGCUUACCAAGGCAACGAUGCGUAGCCGACCUGAGAGGUGGAAGAGGCAGAGUGGGAGUGGGAGACGGAGAAGACUCGUACGGGAGGAAGCAGUGGGGAAGAUUGGAGAAUGGGUGAAAGCCGGAUUAAGCAAUGAAGCUUGUAGGAAGAAGGGAUUAGGAUUGUAAAAUGAUUGUGUACGGAAAGAAAAGAAGUCAGUUAAUAAAGGAGGGUCAGGACGGGACCGAAAGAAUGAGCAAAGGAUAAAUAAGUG
rnacentral:rRNA from 1 species